CCUACGGGGGGCAGCAGUAGGGAAUAUUGCUCAAUGGGGGAAACCCUGAUGCAGCAACGCCGCGUGGAGGAUGAAGGUUUUAGGAUUGUAAACUCCUUUUGUUAGAGAAGAUUAUGACGGUAUCUAACGAAUAAGCACCGGCUAACUCCGUGCCAGCAGCCGCGGUAAUACGGAGGGUGCAAGCGUUACUCGGAAUCACUGGGCGUAAAGAGUGCGUAGGCGGGGUGAUAAGUCAGAUGUGAAAUCCUGUGGCUUAACUACAGAACUGCAUUUGAAACUGUUACUCUGGAGUGUGGGAGAGGUAGGUAGAAUUCUUGGUGUAGGGGUGAAAUCCGUAGAGAUCAGGAGGAAUACUCGUUGCGAAGGCGACCUGCUGGAACAUUACUGACGCUGAGGCGCGAAAGCGUGGGGAGCAAACAGGAUUAGAUACCCCUGUAGUC
rnacentral:rRNA from 1 species